UACGGAGGGGGCGAGCGUUGUUCGGAAUGACUGGGCGUAAAGCGCGCGUAGGCGGAUCAUCAAGUCGGGGGUGAAAUCCCGGGGCUCAACCCCGGAAUGGCCUUCGAGACUGGUGGUCUUGAGUUCGAGAGAGGUGAGUGGAAUUCCGAGUGUAGAGGUGAAAUUCGUAGAUAUUCGGAGGAACACCAGUGGCGAAGGCGGCUCACUGGCUCGACACUGACGCUGAGGUGCGAAAGCGUGGGGAGCAAACAGG
rnacentral:rRNA from 1 species